rnacentral:lncRNA from 1 species
UCUUGUACAACACGUCCUCGAAGGCAGCAUUCAUGGCAAUCAUCACGUCUUUCUCCCGAGGGCAUGGUAUGGCUUUGUUCUUGGUGUUGUUUAAUAGAUGUCGAGUGUCUCUUUUCCACGUCCGAUGAUCUCCCUCUGCUCUAAGUGGGCGAGCUAGAAUCCUUAUGUCAGGUUGGUUGUUCAAAAGACUUUCUCUUUACCCUUUGCAUUUUCAUCUUUUUGAAAGCCCAUGUCCAUUUUUCUGAAUUUUUAUUGGUCUUAUUUCAGGCGCAAUAAAGGAAUUUUUUUUUUCUUAUUUCUCGUUUUAUUAAGUCAAGGUCGGGUUUGCACUUUGCAACAGUGAAAGGGACAAAUAUUUUAUUUAUUUAUCGGAUUGAUGCCAUUAAAUUGAUUCCAUGAUAAAAUUAUAUGCAACGUACAAAAUAUCAUUUAAAAUAAUAGUAUUCUAAUUCCUUUUCAUAAACAUUAGUUAACAGCGUUUAGGUUCAAAAGUCACGGUUGGGUGGAUUCAAGAUUACGGUAUUCAAAGUGUUACUUUUAAUUUACUUCUUAGACAAGUACUUGUCAACUGAAUUCGGAUUGAAUUUAACUCGAACAUUGGAUCAUAAAACUGAGUUUGAAAUUUGAACUGUUUCAUUCUUAUUGAUAAAAUGGUUCAAAGAAAGAUCUAAUAGAGCACAUAUUGUUGCUUUGUGCAUUAACAUAAAAUAAUAAAUUAUUGUCAUAAAUAAUCUUUAAAUUAUAAUAAAAUAUUUAAUAUGAUACAUUAAUUAAAUUAUAAUGAAAUUUCCAAUGAAGCUUUUUAUAAUAAGGAUUUUUUACUUGCACAAAUUUUAUUGUGGGAGAAUUCAUCACAUUUCCUUUUCGAGAC